UACGUAGGGAGCGAGCGUUAUCCGGAAUUACUGGGCGUAAAGGGUGCGUAGGCGGUCUUUCAAGCCAGAAGUGAAAGGCUACGGCUCAACCGUAGUAAGCUUUUGGAACUGUAAGACUUGAGUGCAGGAGAGGAGAGUGGAAUUCCUAGUGUAGCGGUGAAAUGCGUAGAUAUUAGGAGGAACACCAGUAGCGAAGGCGGCUCUCUGGACUGUAACUGACGCUGAGGCACGAAAGCGUGGGGAGCAAACAGGAUUAGAUACCCGCGUAGUCCCUU
rnacentral:rRNA from 1 species